rnacentral:rRNA from 1 species
UACGUAGGGUGCAAGCGUUAAUCGGAAUUACUGGGCGUAAAGCGUGCGCAGGCGGUUGUGCAAGACGGAUGUGAAAUCCCCGGGCUUAACCUGGGAAUUGCAUUCGUGACUGCACGGCUAGAGUGUGUCAGAGGGGGGUAGAAUUCCACGUGUAGCAGUGAAAUGCGUAGAUAUGUGGAGGAAUACCGAUGGCGAAGGCAGCCCCCUGGGAUAACACUGACGCCUCAUGCACGAAAGCGUGGGGAGCAAACAGG